ACAACCUAAAUUUAAUUCACAGUCAGAAUUUUUUGGUUGUGAAUUCACAACCAGUCGAAUUCACAACCAAAAUUAAAUUCACAACCAGAUUUAUGUUGGUUGUGAAUUCACAAUCAGUCGAAUUCACAACCAGAAUUUAAUUUGGUUGUGAAUUCGAAUUUUCAUUGUGAAUUCAUAGAUCUAGUUGUGAAUUCAAAAAUAUUAAAUUGUGAAUUCAUAGAUAUGAUUGUGAAUUCAAGAAUAUUAAGUUGUAAAUUUAUAAAUCUGAUUGUGAAUUCAAGAACAUUAAACUGUGGAGAAUUUAUAGAUCUGGUUAUUAAUUUAAGAUCAUUAAUGAUUAAUUAUCAAAAAUAUAUUUUUCUCUUUUAACCAAUCUCUCAAAUAAAAUUCAUAAAUCAUCACUUAAAAAAAUCAAAACAAAUGGAGAAUUAAACAAGGAUCAAGCUCGUUGGAUAUACAAUGCAUCGGAAAACUGAAUCCAAAUGCUAUCACGAAAUAAUCAAAUCUAUUUACAAAUGACACCACAAUUUCCUAGCAACAAACAUUCCAACGAUCGUAGUAGCGCUUCAGAUCUAGGGUUUCCGCAGCAAAUUAAACCCCCUAGCUCCGCCGCCGGAGUUCAAUCCCCUCCUCGAUCGUAGUAGCGCCGACCAAGCUCAAUCUCCUCUACCACCACCACCACAGCUCGUCCUCCGCCACCACGUCGUCGUCUUCCGACGAUCUCGAGCUGCUGUCGAUCAAGCCUAAUUCUCACAGCUAGACCUCGCUGAAGGACCUCCUCCCGAAGACUCGGCAUCGAAGGAGGAUCUGCAGCAGACAAUGGAUUUGAGGAAGAGGAAGUGGAUGAUCUCCAACCGCGAGUCGGCGUGGCGGAGCCGCCUCCGGAAGCAGAAACACAUGGAGGAGCUGAUAGCGCAGGUGGCUAAUCGUUUCCAAAUUCGACGUCGUUGGCCUCAACACCACCGACGUCGUUGCUCUAUCAGGCGGCCACACGAUCGGGUUAUCGAGGUGCGCGCUCUUCAGCGGCAGAUUGUCCAACUUUAGCGGUAGCGGCGCGCCGGACGCGACGCUGGACAACAGCCUGAUCCCGGAGCUCUGGUCGGUGUGUCCCGUCAACGGCGACGGAAACAACACGGUGGCGCUCGACAACAGAUCUAGAGACCUGUUCGACAACAGCUACUUCCGAAAUCUAGUGAACGGGAGAGGAAUUCUGCAGUCCGAUCAGGUGCUUGUGAUAGCGUUUGCAGCCUUGCUCUGGCAGAUCGAAAGAGAGAGAAGAGAGUGGAGAGAGAGAGAGAGAGAAAAGAGUGGAGAUAGAGAGCAGAUCGAAAGAGAGAGAGAAAAGAGUGGAGAGAGAGAGAAAAGAGAAUGAGAGAGGAGAAAGAGAGAGAUUACAUAUAUUUAAAGGAGGGUAUUUCUGUCUUUUCAAUCAAAAAGUGGACAGUUUUUAUUAUUUUUAUCUUAGUGGACAAUUUUUAUCUUUACAAUAUGAAAGUGGAUAGUUUUAUA